UACGUAGGGUGCAAGCGUUAAUCGGAAUUACUGGGCGUAAAGCGUGCGCAGGCGGUUUCUUAAGUCAGAUGUGAAAGCCCCGGGCUUAACCUGGGAACUGCGUUUGAAACUGGGAGACUUGAGUGUGGCAGAGGGGGGUGGAAUUCCCAGUGUAGAGGUGAAAUUCGUAGAUAUUGGGAAGAACACCGGUGGCGAAGGCGGCGACCUGGUCCAUUACUGACGCUGAGGCGCAACAGCGUGGGGAGCAAACAGG
rnacentral:rRNA from 1 species